rnacentral:rRNA from 1 species
GACGAACGCUGGCGGCGUGCUUAACACAUGCAAGUCGAACGGUAAGGCCCUUCGGGGUACACGAGUGGCGAACGGGUGAGUAACACGUGGGUGAUCUGCCCUGCACUUCGGGAUAAGCCUGGGAAACUGGGUCUAAUACCGGAUAGGACUCCUGGCUUCAUGGUUGGGGGUGGAAAGCUUUUGCGGGGUGGGAUGGGCCGGGGGCCUCUCAGCUUGUUGGUGGGGUAAUGGCCUACCAAGGCGACGACGGGUGGCCGGCCGUGGAGGGUGGCCGGUGACACUGGGAAUGGGAUACGGCGCAGGCGCCGACGGGAGGCAGCAGGGGGGAAUAUGGCACAAUGGGCGCGAGCCUGAUGCAGCGACGCCGGGUGGGGGAUGACGGCCUUCGGGUUGUAAACCUCUUUCAGCUAUGACGAAGCGCAAGUGACGGUAGUAGCAGAAGAAGGACCGGCCAACUACGUGCCAGCCGCCGCCGUAA